rnacentral:rRNA from 1 species
UACGUAGGGUGCGAGCGUUAAUCGGAAUUACUGGGCGUAAAGCGUGCGCAGGCGGUUCGUUGUGUCGGUGGUGAAAUCCCCGGGCUUAACCUGGGAAUGGCCAUGGAAACUGGCGAACUGGAGUGCGGCAGAGGGGGGUGGAAUUCCGCGUGUAGCAGUGAAAUGCGUAGAUAUCAAGCGGAACACCGGUGGCGAAGGCGGCCUUCUGGACAGUGACUGACGCUGAGACGCGAAAGCGUGGGGAGCAAACAGG